rnacentral:rRNA from 1 species
ACGGGUGCGUAACGCGUAUGCAACCUACCUCUUACAGUGGGAUAGCCCAGAGUAAAUUUGGAUUAAUACCGCAUAGUAUACAGAUUCAGCAUUGGGACUGUAAUUAAACAUUUAUGGGUAAGAGAUGGGCAUGCGUUCUAUUAGUUAGUUGGAGUGGUAACGGCACCCCAAGACAGCGAUAGAGUAGGGGCCCUGAGAGGGGGGAUCCCCCCACACUGGUACUGAGACACGGACCAGACUCCUACGGGAGGCAGCAGUGAGGAAUAUUGGACAAUGGGCGAGAGCCUGAUCCAGCCAUGCCGCGUGCAGGAAGACGGCCCUAUGGGUUGUAAACUGCUUUUGUACGGGAAGAAACACCCCCUCGUGAGGGGGCUUGACGGUACCGUAAGAAUAAGGAUCGGCUAACUCCGUG